AGUGAACGCUGGCGGUAGGCCUAACACAUGCAAGUCGAACGGCAGCACCGUAAGAGCUUGCUCUUACGGGUGGCGAGUGGCGGACGGGUGAGGAAUACAUCGGAAUCUACUUUUUCGUGGGGGAUAACGUAGGGAAACUUACGCUAAUACCGCAUACGACCUACGGGUGAAAGCAGGGGAUCUUCGGACCUUGCGCGAUUGAAUGAGCCGAUGUCGGAUUAGCUAGUUGGCGGGGUAAAGGCCCACCAAGGCGACGAUCCGUAGCUGGUCUGAGAGGAUGAUCAGCCACACGGGAACUGAGACACGGUCCAGACUCCUACGGGAGGCAGCAGUGGGGAAUAGUGGACAAUGGGCGCAAGCCUGAUCCAGCCAUACCGCGUGGGUGAAGAAGGCCUUCGGGUUGGAAAGCCCUUUUGUUGGGAAAGAAAAGCAGCAGGUUAAGACCCCGCUGUUCUGACGGUACCCAAAGAAUAAGCACCGGCUAACUUCGUG
rnacentral:rRNA from 1 species